GCAUGUACAAGAGGUGCCCAUCUAAAAUAUGUCAGGUAGUUGGGGCGCCAACUCUUGGUGCCCCACAAUAGGAUUUCUAGCCAAAUAAGAAGGGGUGUGGCCCCACCUCUCUUUCCUCCAUGCCAUGCCAUAUAAGAGGAGGUGGGCUCCUCUAGGAUUUGGUGCCCAAUUCCUACCAAAAGAGAAGGAAGGCGCCACCCAAUCUUUCAUUUAUUCUACAUGCACACUUAGAGAUAAUUAGGAG
rnacentral:lncRNA from 1 species